UAUAUUAAAUUAAAAAGUUAUUAAAAGAAAAAUCUAAUGCAGUGACUGCCUCAUUAGCUAAACCUAAUUGAAGCGCAGCAACUGACUGCAUUAAUGCACCCUAAUGUAGCCACUUGCUAUACCAAACAUAGGGUUCCAUUACUAAUGCAAUGCAAUCCCAUGUAAUAAGGGGUGCCAAACACCCCCUACGUUUUUUAGAAGAUGUUCUUAAUAAUUUAAUUAAAUAAUCUCUAAAUAAUAGAACAACAUAAAUAAAUAGUUAAAACGUACAAGAUUAGCUCAAAUAUCAUGUUAGGAUGAUAGAAUAAAAGUUUAUACAUACCACAAGAUAAUAACAAAAUAAUAAAGUAAUACAAUUGUUAUAAUAUAUUCACUAACAAUAUGAAUUGUGCUAAAUAAUUCAAGUAAUAGUUUUGUAG
rnacentral:lncRNA from 1 species